rnacentral:misc_RNA from 1 species
GAUGAAGAACGUAGCGAAAUGCGAUAAGUAGUGUGAAUUGCAGAAUUCCGUGAAUCUUCGAAUCUUUGAACGCACAUUGCGCCUUCUGGUAUUCCGGAAGGCAUGCCUGUUCGAGAGUCAUUAACAACCGUUUCGAUCCCUUUCUUUCAGAAAUUACAAAGAGGAAAAGGGUUUGGUUAUGGUGGAGGAGGGAAAGGGAGCGUUUAGCCUGUAAAAAAAGAGGCUGUGUUCCGCCUCCCCCCCAAAAUUGUACAGGCGGUCGUGUGCGCCCACGCAUCGAGGUGUUGUAAAAGCUGCCACGGCACUUUUCACCUGUGCAGUGCGAGAUUGGCCAGCCGGUUUAAAAACCCCUCCAAACAAUCAAAGGUUGACCUCGGAUCAGGUAGGGAUACCCGCUGAACUUAAGCAUAUCAAUAAGCGGAGGA